rnacentral:lncRNA from 1 species
CUGUCACACUACUAAGUGCAUAAAACAAGAGUAGUACUCAGUCCUUGAUGUUUCUUAUAACAAAACUGUAAAAAAAAUAAAGUUACAUUAUAAUCUUUCCCAAAAGCUAAAUCAAAUCAAAGUAAUUAUAGAGUAAAGUUUGUUCAUCAAUUUUGAUAUAAAAGUAGAUUCUUUAUGUCUGUUCAGGAAUGAACACAAAGAAAAAGAGACAAGUAAAGUCAAUAAUAUGGACCACAUGGUAAACUUGUGAUUGAAAAUGUGUCAUACAACCACCCAAGUGAGUAAAGUCAAUAAUGGAACCUUGCAAGUUGCAUCAAUUAUUGAAAUAAUGGAAUCUGGCUUUGUGGAUAUUUCUUCAUAAUUAUUGAGCUGCUACUUGCUACCAUUGCAUUCAUCUCACAGCUCUUCUGUUUACUACUCCUUUAAUCUAAACCACUUUCUCAUCUUUUCAACUCUUUCUUUUUCUGAAAAUAUGGCUGAUGCUUUACUUGGAGUGGCGUUUGAGAAUUUGAUAUCUCUU